rnacentral:ncRNA from 2 species
UUCAGACCAAUGGGAGAGCGUGUCAGCCAGCACCCUUGCAAUAUGGCUGCGACACCGCCGAAGGCGCAACACCCGUAACCGCUCAGGCUCAAGAACCGUUGGCACAGG